AAGAGGUCAGCUGGAUGGAGAAAGAAGCUGUCGUGGAAGAGGAGACUGUUUCGAUACAAAAACAAGUGGAGGGUGAGGCUGUUACUGUGAAAGAAGAAGAGAAAGACGUUUCAGUGAAAGAAGAGGUAGACGCGUUCAGAGUGAAAGAGGAGGAUGCAGUUUUUGGAGUAAAAAAGUCAGAGGGGGAGAUGACUGUCACAUCCAAAAGGGAGGUCGAAGAAGAGGAGGAAACUGGAUAUCUGGGCCCGGUUUCCCAAACGCAUCUUAAGGCAUCCAAUGGUUCUAACGGUGAACUUAGCCAUAAGAUGGUUUUGAGAAACCGUUCCCUGAUUAACACAAGAGAGAGACGGGACUAUCUUGGAUCCUCUGGGGAGCCUCAACAACAUCAUGAAGCUGAUGAGGCAGAGAAGAGUCUCUUCAGAUCAGAACACCUCAAGAAACACCAGCAGAGACCCACAGGGAAGAAAUCUUUCUGCAAAUCUUCAUCGGAACCUAAAAUACACCAGCGAGUACACACAGGAGAGAAAGCUCACCACUGUUGUGGGAAGAGUUACUCAAGACCAGAUGCACUGAAAGUACACCUGAGAGAAACAUUUUGGCUGUGAUCAAUGUGGGUUGUUGAUUGACAAAGUCUUGAAAAAUGUAAUAGAAUUGAAUAAGCCACAUUUUGGCUAUGAUAAAAGAUAUGUCUCUGGGGUCAAAAUGAUCCAUGUCAGAAGUAUGGUUCAAUGCAAAUCUGUAGUGGGUGUAAAGUUUGUUUUAAAUGAUCACUCAUUAAAAACGAAUCA
rnacentral:lncRNA from 1 species